rnacentral:rRNA from 1 species
AGAAUCAACGCUGGCGGCGUGCCUCAGACAUGCAAGUCGAACGCGAAAGUCCCCUUCGGGGACAAGUAGAGUGGCGCACGGGUGAGUAACACGUAGGUAAUCUACCUUUGGAUGGGGAAUAACAAUCGGAAACGGUUGCUAAUACCGCAUAAUGCAGCGGCACCUAAUGGUGACAGUUGUUAAAGCGGGGGAUCGAAAGACCUCGCGUCUGAAGAGGAGCCUGCGGCGGAUUAGCUAGUUGGUAAGGUAAUGGCUUACCAAGGCUACGAUCC